CAUCCUGCCACUUGUUGCUGUAAACGGUCACAGGCAACGAAAUUUCCAGGCAGCCUUCAUUUCUACAGAGACACCUGAACGCAGCAUCCAGACUAAUGAAUUGAGGGGUUGAGAAGGACGAUGAAAACAAAAAUGGAAAUCGAUCGAAAAUAACAUAGUUGUCUAUGUCAGACCUCUCACUGGCACUUCACAAAGAACCUGAGGGGAGAAAAGUGAGAGGCCACAGUUCAGAACCAUGGAGGCUCGAUUUGGUAAUAUUGUGUUCAGCUCCAAGUUUGACUCAGGGAACCUGGCACGUGUGGAGAAAGUGGAGAAGGGCAGCUCCAGCCCUCCUACCGAUACAGCUCCCAGUGGGAGUGGCCUCCUAGGGUCAAACCUGACCCCUGACUAUGAGUUCAAUGUGUGGACACAACCAGACUGCGGUGGCACAGAACAUGAGAAUGGAAACAGGUCAUGGUUUUACUUCAGUGUGCGGGGUGCAGCACCUGGGAAAAUAGUGAAGAUCAAUGUGAUGAACAUGAACAACCAGAGGAAGCUCUACAGCCAGGGCAUGGCUCCUCUCGUACGCACUUUACCUGGCAAGAACCGAUGGGAAAGGGUCCGGGACAGACCCUCAUCUGAGAUUGUGGAUAACCAGUUCAUCCUCUCAUUCACACACCGGCUGUUGGAGGUGCGAGGGGCGACCACCUACUUCUCCUUCUGCUACCCGUUCCCUUACAGUGAGUGCCAGGAGAUGCUGGAGCAGUUUGACAAGAGCUACCCCAAUGUUGCUCAACUAAGUCCAAGCAGUGCACCAAGCAGUGUGUAUUACCAUAGGGAGUUGCUGUGCAACUCUCUAGACGGCAACAGGGUGGACCUGCUCACUGUGACCAACUGCAGCGGGAUGCAAGAAGAGAGAGAACCACGUCUGCCUAAGCUGUUUCCCGACACCAACACUCCAAGAGCACACCGCUUCCCUGGCAAAAGGGUGUUUUUCCUCAGCAGUCGAGUGCACCCCGGGGAGACUCCGUCAUCCUUCGUCUUUAACGGUUUCCUCAACUUCAUUCUAAGAAGAGAUGACCCUCGUGCUCAUGCGCUUCGAAACAUGUUUGUGUUCAAGCUCAUUCCCAUGCUCAACCCAGAUGGGGUUAUUCGUGGGCACUACAGGACUGAUUCCAGGGGUGUGAACUUGAACAGACAAUACCUGAACCCCAGCCCUGAGCUGCACCCUUCUAUCUAUGCAGCCAAAACACUGUUGCUCUACCACCACACACACAACCGCCUGCACAAUCCACAGUCCAGCACUCACUGUAACAGCUCCACACACACACAGACCACUCCGCUUAACACCAAACCCACCAAUCAACACCAGUCUCCCCCCUUCACCGCCCUUGAAGUCAGCUUGAACCAACGAAAUGCAGAGAAGGAUACAAAUCCCGCCCUGCCAGAAGUUCCCAUGGUGACGGAGGAAAACGUCUGGGCAACCACAGAGAUGGGGAAGGGGGACCAGAAAAGCUCAUCGAGUUCCCCAGAGACUGUAGCUCCUGUUACUGUAGAGGUAACCGUACCACAGGAGGAGGAACAGGAAUUAAUUCCACCCCAGGAGGGAGGUGUAGCUUAUUAUGUGGACUUGCACGGCCACGCCUCUAAGCGUGGAUGCUUCAUGUACGGAAAUAACCUACCUGAUGAGAGCCAGCAGGUAGAGAACAUGCUGUAUCCGAGGCUGAUCGCUGUGAACUCUGCCCACUUUGAUUUCCUGGGUUGUAACUUCUCCGAGAAAAACAUGUAUGCCCGAGACAAGAGGGAUGGCCAGUCUAAAGAAGGCAGCGGGCGGGUGGCCAUUCACAAGGCCAUCGGGCUGCUUCACAGCUACACUUUAGAGUGCAACUAUAACACAGGAAAAACUAUGAACACCAUCCCUCCUGCUUGCCAUGACAACGGACGGGCAACCCCACCUCCACCUCCAUCAUUCCCUCCAAAAUACACUCCAGAAAUAUUUGAGCAGGUGGGGCGUGCUGUGGCUAUCUCAGCCCUGGAUAUGGCAGAGUGUAACCCCUGGCCACGGCUGGUGCUCUCUGAGCACAGUUGUCUGACAAACCUUCGAGCUUGGAUCCUCAAGCACGUCCGCAACACCAAAGGCCUGAACGCAAAUAUCCACUCUCAUCCUCCGCUAAGAAUACACCACAAUGGCAGCAAGGCGUCCCCGCCAAAGAGCUUCAACAACUGUCUGUCGGGCUCAGCGUCAGAGAACACCCUGAGUCGUGUUCGUUGCAACAGCCACAGCAGCAGCAGCCAGACACCCUCCCCGAAGAUGCACAGCUCGCCGAGCUUUACUUUUGGCUGUCCCCCACCCCGAACUCACACACAGCACAACAGCACGCACGCCAGCGGACGUGGAGGCAACAAGACACUUGGGCCAGUCAGGGACCCUAAGCCUCAGGAGAAGAGACGCCCCCCCCACCACCGCUCCAUCCUACGGUCUCCCAGCAACAGCCACACUCCUUCCCGUCCCCCACUCUCACCCCCUUCCUCCUCCUCCUCCUCGUCUUCCUCAGUGUGCGCAGCGGGCUCCUGUCCCCUCCCGGCCUCCGUCAGUAUGACAGGUCUGUACUCCCUCCAGUCCCCCAGCCUCUCCACCUUGCUCCCCUCCCUGCAGGCUCUCCCCCGCCCUGGGCUGCUCUCGAAACUGAGCCCCCUGCUCCUUCAGGGCCUACCGCCGGCCACCAACACUCCAGCAGGGCCCACCCAGGACUGAAUCUAACAUAACCUAUGAGAGCUUGGGCUUGUGUGUGCGUGCGUGUGUGUGUGCGUGUGCGUGUGCGUGUGUGUGGAACUGAGUGAGUGUAAGCUCUUAAAGUUGCUUGGAGUACCAGACAAGCAGAGUUUUAGGUUGUCUCAAGAGACUGUCAUACAGAAACCUUCACCUGUCUGGCUCUCCACGUAGGUCAAAACAAGUGCUUAUCACGAUUUGUCUGUGUGUAUGUGUGUGUGUGUGUGUGUGUGUGUGUGUGUGUGAGAGAGAGAGAGUGAAACAUCAUUGGUGCUAGCUCUUCUAACUGUUCCUCAAAUAUUAUUGUUUUUCCUUCUGCACACAUCUGUGUAAUUAAAUGUAUCUACGGUAUUAGCACCUUAGGAUGAGUAAUACACUUGAGAGUGCAAGUGUUCAUCAGAUCUCAAUUGUGACUGAAAUGUGCUGAAACAUGUUUUUCAUUUUUUUACUAACCUUGAAUCAAGCAUUGCUUAUCAUGCUGUGCUCUGGCGGCGUUCUUUACUGAACAAAGCCGACAGUUUAGUGUCUGAAUGUGUUUAGCAACCCGAGACAGUUGCUUGGUUACAUGAUCUCCGAUGUUCCCUAGGACUUGCAAAAUAUACAAAUAUACAUUCAUAUUGGAAAUAUUACAUGAAUAGAUUACACCUCAUUGAAUAUGUCUCUUUUUCAGUCUGUAUACAAGUAAUAAGCUAAAAAGAAUUACCAUGUUACUGUGCUGACAUUUGGGAAAUAGCCAGGGCUGUCAAUUUUAAGAUUCUUUUCAAACAGUUACUGUUGUUCAGCUGCAGUAUGAAUUAUGAAUAUUAUUUAUUGGUUUUAUUUUAGUUUUGAAAAACAUAACCAGCUUUGUAGAACGAGACUGAACACAUUGUUGCUUUUGUUUCUGUAAAAUCCUUUAAAGCACCUUCUAAUCUUUUAUUUCUUUUUUCAGUGUAUUUGUAUUUUGCUCUGUAAUGUUCAUAUAUAAAACAGUGCGAGUCACAGGUUGAUCACGCCGUCCAGUGUAGUCAUAUUUGGAGUCAGUUCAGAGCUGAGCAUCGUGUAGACCAUAUUUAAUUUCUAGUGAGUGGAAAUCCCGUUUAAAAUGACUGUGGUUAUACUUUUGUAUGUAAGUCAAUGGUUAAUUUCUUUAAUAUAAAUGAAACCUGUAUCAUUCCAGUGUCAGUCCAGUCUUGGUCUUGACAUUAUGAUGUUCACAGUAUAGCCUACUGCCAGAAACCUCACAUGGACCAUCACUGGAUUAAAUCCUUACGGAUGGUGAAACCUUAAAGAGUUUCUUUGGAAAAAAGGGGAGCUGUUUGCCAACUAGCAAUAUCAUAUGAAAAAACACUUUAGUUCUGUGUUUGACAAGUUUGACUAAGUCAAAGUUGGUAAGUGUUUAUAAUUUUCUAAUAAGAUUCCAAUAUUGAUUUUGUUGUAAAUAAUCUGUAGAGUUUUUUAUUUUAUUACAUGUGUCAUCAAACUGGUGAUGAAAAACCUGAUUAUUAUUUAUUCAAGCACAUUUGUGUGUUUCCUAGUGUAUAUGAAACUUGGCAGCAAUGUAGUAGGCUGUCGGUGGUCACAGUUAAUAUAUUUUGUGGUUAGCAGAGAUGAGAAAUUAUCUUGUUGUCUUGGUGUACAUGUAAGCCCCAUAGAUGUGGAAUUAUAAUAUUUCAUCUGUAAUUCAGUUUUGUGUACUGUCAUCCAAGUACUUGAUGAUGGUCCACGUUUGAGGACCAGCCAUUAUAGAUGCACUGAAGAUGCAGAGGUAGAGCAUGUGAGACCCGGACAGGUUUUAUGAACAGCAGAUAAACCAGAACAUUAAUUGAUUGGAUCAAAAUAGAUUUCAGAAUAUCUGGCCUUGAUUUGCUGUAGCUGUCAUUCUGUUCCAGUGCUGUGCGACAUUGUAGUUAUGGUGUGCCUUCCUCUGGUGUCAGUUGUAAACAGUAGGUCUUUGGAGGCUAUGCUCAGUCUUUUUUUUUUUUUUUUUUUACCAGAGAACUCUUGGAUUAUAUCAUGAUCUGGAAGGUCAUUUAUCUUGCUUUGGAGAAACUUUCCCUUCGCAAGUGGCAUUGAAGAUAGUUAAGUAGGGACAAUUUAUAAUGUAGUGACUUUUUUUUCAGAAUACAGGCCUAAAUCACUGUAUGGUUAAACAAUAUAUAUAUAUAUAUAUAUAUAUAUAUAUAUAUAUAUAUAUAUAUAACUGCAGAUAAUGUUUGGAAAUUAAGUUAAGGGGCAUAUUUAGGACUUUUGUUGACCUUUUCACAAAAGCAAAAAUAAAUAUCAAACAAUGCCAGUGUCUGUCAAACCUUUACAAAUGUAAUGCUGAUUUUGUGCUCUGGGGAAAUAAAAGUCUUACAUAAUGCUCCUUUAAUAUCACUAAGAUGAUGAUUUUCAUGUAGCCUCUGCCCACUGCAUUCAGCACAGUGGGCAGGAUGUAUUAUGAGCUUUCACCUUAGAUCAGUGCCCUAAAAAAUAGUUUACUGUAGUUUUUUUCUGCUUUCUCACUGUGAACUUUAACGUCCUAUUUCCCAGUUGUUUCACUCCUAAAGCUUACAUAUAUAUAUAUAUAUAUAUAUAUGUAUGUGUGUGUGUGUGUGUAUAUCUUCAUCCACAAUGACAAAAGAAAAAGCUUUAGGCGGAAACACACUGUAUGCAUAGUCACAUUCUCACUGGAUGUGUCUGCUUUGUAUAUUCCUUAUGAGAACUGUGCUGUUGCCUUCAAUGUGGUGCUAACCUUCUAUACCGGACUACGGUUAAGUGUUUGUCUGUGCAACAUCUUUACGAAUAUUACCUUCUUGAAUGUGUUGCUGUCUUUUACCGCCUCUCUGUUUAACCUCUGGAAUAAAAACUACUCCUUUGUGAAGCAA